GCUACUCGGAGCCGGCCCGCACGUCCCCUCUUGCAGCCUCCAUCUCUGGGCGCGGGCUCCCGCCGACGCCCGCUAGCUUCUCCCGGUCCCUCGGGUGUCAGCGGGGCGGCGACGUUCACCCCUGGCUCCACGCAACAGACCCUCCAGAACUGUGGUCCCCAGUAAGACAAGUGCCGGCGACACACCGAACCACCUAGUGGUGUGUCUCUCCAAAUCUACACGGUCCUUCUAGCUGUCUUCCUUCCGCCUGGAACCGCUCAAGCUUGGGACCCUGACAGACUUUCCACUCUUCUGCAGUUCCGCUUCUGGCUAACUGUUCCUGCUACAUGAGAUCUGUCAACUCAAGAUGUUGUUUUUGUGCUUAAAAAGCCACCCUGAGAAAGGCUCAGGACUGCACUGGGGUUCUGAACACUCCCUGUCAUUGCCAG